UAAGGCCACAACUAUACACCUCUAAUAAUUAAUUAAAAUAAAUGAUUAUAAUAACUCUUUAUUAUAGUUAUCAUUAUAAAUUAAAUUAAUAUAUGUAAAUCACAUAUUCACAUAAUUAAUUUUUACUUCAAAAUGUGAAUGACAAUUAUUAAUAAAAUUCAAACAUAAAAUUUGCGCAUAUCACAUGUUUCCAAAACAGUAACCAGCACACAAAAUAUAUGAUCAUAUCAUGUUAAAAUUGAUUUCAUAUUAAAACUCAAUAAUUAUAACAUUUCUCAUAUCUUAUAAUUAUAGAAACAAAAUAUUUUAAAAUCAAUUAUUAGAAAAUGUCAAAAGGAGUUUCACAUGUCCUGUCAAUCAUUUUGGAAAAUUAUUAUAUGAUUAUCAAAUAAUCAUAGACACUUUAAUUAGUAACCGAAAUAUUGAUUUCAAAAGAACAUGUUUUUUUUCUCUGACUAGUCAUCCACGCAUAACAAAUUAACAUGGCAAUUUAUAAACACAUGUGAAAAACAAAAUCACUUUUAACCGAUUUCAUGAAUAAAAUAUUUGUUUGAGUCAAACUCAAAUUUUAACCAUAUCACCAAACUACAGCAGUAUAGCACGACUGAUUCAUGCUUCAAAUUAAUUGGCAAUUGAAACACUUUCAAUACUAUAUGGGACGUGAACCUUUCACAUUUUCAACAAGCCUUUUGAAUCAUAUUCAAAGCUUCCAGGAUAAUCAUGUAUUGAUUAAAAGAUAUUUGAAACCAAUUACAAUUUCCGUAAAUUUUAAAAUCAAUUACACAUUAAAACUGAAGUAUAUUUUGCACAGAGUCUCCUAAAACACGGAGACGCCCCUGCUUUUGAAUCAAAUUCAACACUUUCAGGAAUAAAUCAUGAUGGUUAAUA
rnacentral:lncRNA from 1 species